rnacentral:ncRNA from 1 species
ACUAGACUGCGCCGCGACGGUGCCCCGCAAGGGGGUAAAAGGGAAUCCGGGAAUGCCGGAGCUGUCCCCGCAACUGUGAACGGCGAGCCCGCGCCGCAUUGCCACUGGCCAAAGGCCGGGAAGGCAGGCGCAAGGGUGCAGACCCGUAAGCCAGGAAACCUGCCGUCAUGUCGUCCGCUCC